rnacentral:rRNA from 1 species
UAUUUUCAGUUGGUUUGGCAGCGCGAGGACUAGGGUAAUGAUUAAUAGGGAUAGUUGGGGGCAUUAAUAUUUAAUUGUCAGAGGUGAAAUUCUUGGAUUUAUGAAAGAUUAACUUCUGCAGAAAGCAUCUGCCAAGGAUGUUUUCAUUAAUCAAGAACGAAAGUUAGGGGAUCGAAGACGAUCAGAUACCGUCGUAGUCUUAACCAUAAACGAUGCCGACCAGCGAUUAGGAGACGUUGAAUACAAAACACCAACAUCGGUGCGGUCGUCCUUGGCGUCGGUCUUUCGGGGCCGGCGCCGGGGA